rnacentral:rRNA from 1 species
CCUACGGGAGGCAGCAGUGGGGAAUAUUGCGCAAUGGGCGAAAGCCUGACGCAGCGACGCCGCGUGAGGGAUGAAGGUCUUCGGAUCGUAAACCUCUGUCAGCAGGGAAGAACGGUCACUGUGCUAAUCAGCAGUGAAUUGACGGUACCUGCAAAGGAAGCACCGGCUAACUCCGUGCCAGCAGCCGCGGUAAUACGGAGGGUGCGAGCGUUAAUCGGAAUUACUGGGCGUAAAGCGCUCGUAGGCGGUAUGGCAAGUCAAGGGUGAAAUCCCCGCGCUCAACGUGGGAACUGCCUUUGAAUCUGGCAAACUGGAGUGUGUGAGAGGAUAGGGGAAUUCCAGGUGUAGGAGUGAAAGCCGUAGAUAUCUGGAGGAACAUCAGUGGCGAAGGCGACUAUCUGGCACAUAACUGACGCUGAGGAGCGAAAGCGUGGGUAGCAAACAGGAUUAGAUACCCCUGUAGUC